rnacentral:rRNA from 1 species
AGUCGACGGAGACAGUAGCAAUAUUGUCUUAGUGGCGAACGGGUGAGUAACGCGUUGGUGACCUGCCUCGAAGAGAGGGGUAACAGUUCGAAAGGAUUGCUAAUACCUCAUGUGGUUGCUUGGGUUAGAGACCUUGCAACUAAACGGAUUUAUUCGCUUCGAGAGGGGCCUGCGUCCCAUCAGCUAGUUGGUAGGGUAAUGGCCUACCAAGGCGAUGACGGGUAGGGGACCUGAGAGGGUGGCCCCCCACAAUGGAACUGAAACACGGUCCAUACACCUACGGGUGGCAGCAGUAGGGAAUAUUGGUUAAUCUGGGAAACCGGGAACCAGCAACGCCGCGUGCGCGAUGAAGGCCUUCGGGUUGUAAAGCGCUUUUAGAGAGGAUGAGGAAGGACAGUACUCUCUGAAUAAGCCUCGGCUAACUACGUGCCAGCAGCCGCGGUAAAACGUAGGAGGCGAGCGUUAUCCGGAUUUACUGGGCGUAAAGCGCGUGUAGGCGGUUUGAUAAGUUGGAUGUGAAAGCUCCUGGCUUA